GACGAACGCUGGCGGCGUGCUUAACACAUGCAAGUCGAACGAAGAGCGAUGGAAGCUUGCUUCUAUCAAUCUUAGUGGCGAACGGGUGAGUAACGCGUAAUCAACCUGCCCUUCAGAGGGGGACAACAGUUGGAAACGACUGCUAAUACCGCAUACGAUCUAAUCUCGGCAUCGAGGAUAGAUGAAAGGUGGCCUCUACAUGUAAGCUAUCACUGAAGGAGGGGAUUGCGUCUGAUUAGCUAGUUGGAGGGGUAACGGCCCACCAAGGCGAUGAUCAGUAGCCGGUCUGAGAGGAUGAACGGCCACAUUGGGACUGAGACACGGCCCAGACUCCUACGGGAGGCAGCAGUGGGGAAUCUUCCGCAAUGGACGAAAGUCUGACGGAGCAACGCCGCGGGAGUGAUGACGGCCGUCGGGUUGUAAAGCUCUGUUAAUCGGGACGAAAGGCCUUCUUGCGAAUAGUGAGAAGGAUUGACGGUACCGGAAUAGAAAGCCACGGCUAACUACGUG
rnacentral:rRNA from 1 species